CGAACGGGUGAGUAAUAUAUUGGAACGUACCGAGCAAUGAGGGAUAACCAAUCGAAAGAUUGGCUAAUACCGCAUACGCUCUGAGGAGGAAAGCAGGGGACCUUCGGGCCUUGCGUUAUUCGAGCGGCCAAUAUCUGAUUAGCUAGUUGGUGGGGUAAAGGCCUACCAAGGCGACGAUCAGUAGCGGGUCUGAGAGGAUGAUCCGCCACACUGGGACUGAGACACGGCCCAG
rnacentral:rRNA from 1 species